rnacentral:ncRNA from 1 species
UGUCAUAAGAUUUCCCAAAAAUCAAUCUCAAUGAAGAGGGUGUUGAAAUCAAGGAAACAUUUGAGGGCAUUCCAUAACUUUUUACCCUUCAAGUAAUAUCACAAACAACCUUCCAUCCAAAGUCAACAAAAUUGAAACCCAUUUUUGAGAGUUGUUGGUGCCUCAUUCUAUAAAUGACAACAACGUUAGGAAAUCCAGAGAUGUCAUCGGGGGCCUCAGGAAGACUUAUCUUAUCUUUUUAAUAGCUUGACCACCAUGAAAUCAGCUCAACUAGAGAUAGAGUCCAACAGCUGGAAGAGCAUCGCAUGUCUUGCAGUGUUCAAUGCACCCUCGAUGACCCUUGAAAAUCUAGAGGACCGAGUAUCGUCCAUGCCCAUUCAUACUCAUAACCUCAUCAGGUCACCAAGGUGAGCAUCCUCU